AUAAAACAUGGAAUAGACCCAGAAAUCCUAAAACAUAAGGAACUGCAGAAGUAAGUUCAAGGAAAACAAUGGCAGUGGAAAAAAAGACCACAAUCAAAAAAACUUCAGUGAGCAUGAGAAAACUCUUGUAAAGACAAUAGUAUUAAGACACCCGGUCAAUGAAGACAAACAGCACACAUCUGCUGUGGAAUCAAAGAAAAGGAAUGCAUGGAAAUCCAUCUGUAAUGAACUUAAUGCAAGUGAACAAACAUCAACAAGAACAAUACAACAGCUUCAGGUUUUGUGGAAAGAUAUAAAAAUCAACCUUAAACUGCUGCAGAAGCCCAAAGAGAGAGGUUUAAGACCUGCAAAUAAAGAUACUGAUCAGUUGGAUGACUUACUGACAGGAAUAAUGGAGAACCAGCAACCUUUGGAGAACUGAAGCACUGCAAGGUAAUUUACCCUCCAUAUCCUCAGAAGCUAGGGUGGCAGUGUCUGCCAGUACUGGUCACCAAAACAAGAGUCACAAUCCACAAAAAGCUGGCUAUUGAAUUUCAUGAACACAAGUACCUUAAGGAGGAGCAUGAAAUAGAAAUGAAGAUGGAGAAAGAUGAAACCGUCUCAUAUCACAACAACGCAUGAAUCUGAAAUAAAAUGUUUUAUUAAAUCA